UACGGAGGGUGCAAACGUUGCUCGGAAUCAUUGGGCGUAAAGCGCACGUAGGCGGUUCGGUAAGUCGGAUGUGAAAUCUCCCGGCUCAACUGGGAAACUGCAUCGGAAACUGAUCGGCUUGAAGAUGGGAGAGGGUAGUGGAAUUCCCGGUGUAGUGGUGAAAUGCGUAGAUAUCGGGAGGAACACCAGUGGCGAAGGCGACUACCUGGCCCAUUCUUGACGCUGAGGCGCGAAAGCUAGGGGAGCGAACGGG
rnacentral:rRNA from 1 species